rnacentral:rRNA from 1 species
UACGUAGGUGGCGAGCGUUGUCCGGAUUUACUGGGCGUAAAGGGAGCGUAGGCGGACUUUUAAGUGAGAUGUGAAAUACUCGGGCUCAACUUGAGUGCUGCAUUUCAAACUGGAAGUCUAGAGUGCAGGAGAGGAGAGUGGAAUUCCUAGUGUAGCGGUGAAAUGCGUAGAGAUUAGGAAGAACACCAGUGGCGAAGGCGAUUCUCUGGACUGUGACUGACGCUGAGGCUCGAAAGCGUGGGGAGCAAACAGG